CCUUUCUUUAGAAAAAACAGAGAGCAAAGCUCUCUCUCAGGCCUCUAACCGACCAUGGUUGUCGGCUUUAGCGCCACCGCCGUAGCACCACCGUGGACGGUGGCCGACGUUGCGCAAAAGAAGCCUUUUAGCCCCGAUUCACAACACACACGAAAACCAGGCCUUCCUAGCCCGAAAGAUAUGAAAAAGGAGGGGUCUUUCGUACCCCUUUCAGUCCGAUUCCAACGCCGAAAAUGGUCUCCGACGACGGGCUUUCGAGACAGGUGAGCAGUUGGGAGCAGGUGAGCGGCGAUGGGACGUGCGCGGCGGCCAGCAGAACGGCAGUGGCAGGGCAAGUGGGGUGCGGCAGCACUAGGGUUUCAAAAAGCUGAAACCCUAGUUUGACCCUUAGUAUUUGGGCUUGGGUCUUGGUUUGGGCUGAAGGGUAUUGGGUUAGUUGGGCUGGUGGGUUAGUUUAAUUGGUUUAGUUUUUUUAUGUUUUUGUAAUUGGGCCCGGGCAAAUGGGCUUGUACACUUGGAAUAUAAAGUUUAACCUUGAGACGAGUAGAUUCAUGAAAUAAAUCUGUGGAAAUGGCAUUCGAAAAA